UACGUAGGGUGCAAGCGUUGUCCGGAAUUAUUGGGCGUAAAGAGCUCGUAGGCGGUUCGUCGCGUCGGCUGUGAAAACCCGGAGCUCAACUCCGGGCCUGCAGUCGAUACGGGCGGACUUGAGUGUUGCAGGGGAGACUGGAAUUCCUGGUGUAGCGGUGAAAUGCGCAGAUAUCAGGAGGAACACCGGUGGCGAAGGCGGGUCUCUGGGCAACUACUGACGCUGAGGAGCGAAAGCGUGGGGAGCGAAC
rnacentral:rRNA from 1 species